AGGUGCUGACGGAUAUGUGGAUCUUGAUUUCACUGUGAAUGUUGGCGAUAAAAAAUAGUGCAAGUGGGAUGAUAAUCCCACGAUAUGCGAAUAUUGGGUAGGAUUGUGGGAGUGCGUAGCACGGAGCAAUCCGUAGGCAUCA
rnacentral:sRNA from 1 species